UUCGCAAUGCCCGAAAGGGUGACGAAGCGACGCCGCGUGGGUGAGGAAGGCCCUCGGGUUGUAAAGCCCUGUCAGGAGUUAAGAAAUGUAGACUCGCUAAUAUCGCAUUUAUUUGACGAAGGCUCCAAAGGAAGUCACGGCUAACUCUGUGCCAGCAGCCGCGGUAAUACAGAGGUGGCAAGCGUUGUUCGGAAUUAUUGGGCGUAAAGAGCACGUAGGUGGGUUUGUAAGUCAGAUGUGAAAGCCUUCUGUUCAACGGAAGAAUUGCAUCUGAAACUGCGAGUCCUGAGUGUAGGAGGGGAGAAUGGAACUUCUGGUGGAGCGGUGAAAUGCGUAGAUACCAGAAGGAACGCCGGCGGCGAAAGCGAUUCUCUGGCCUAUUACUGACACUCAGUGUGCGAAAGCUAGGGGAGCAAACGGGAUUAGAUACCCCGGUAGUCCUAGCCGUAAACGAUGGGCACUAAGUAGAGGGGUUUU
rnacentral:rRNA from 1 species